UACGUAGGGUGCGAGCGUUGUCCGGAAUUAUUGGGCGUAAAGAGCUCGUAGGCGGCUUGUCGCGUCGGAUGUGAAAGCCCGGGGCUAACUCCGGGUCUGCAUUCGAUACGGGCAGGCUAGAGUGUGGUAGGGGGAGAUCGGAAUUCCUGGUGUAGCGGUGAAAUGCGCAGAUAUCAGGAGGAACACCGGUGGCGAAGGCGGAUCUCUGGGCCAUUACUGACGCUGAGGAGCGAAAGCGUGGGGAGCGAACAGG
rnacentral:rRNA from 1 species